CGAACGGCAGCGCGGACUUCGGUCUGGCGGCGAGUGGCGAACGGGUGAGUAAUGCAUCGGAACGUACCUUUCAGUGGGGGAUAACGUAGCGAAAGUUACGCUAAUACCGCAUAUUCUGUGAGCAGGAAAGCAGGGGAUCGCAAGACCUUGCGCUGAUGGAGCGGCCGAUGUCAGAUUAGCUAGUUGGUGGGGUAAAGGCUCACCAAGGCGACGAUCUGUAGCGGGUCUUAGAGGAUGAUCCGCCACACUGGAACUGAGACACGGUCCAGACUCCUACGGGAGGCAGCAGUGGGGAAUUUUGGACAAUGGGCGCAAGCCUGAUCCAGCCAUGCCGCGUGAGUGAAGAAGGCCUUCGGGUUGUAAAGCUCUUUCGGCCGGGAAAAAAUCGCUUGGGUUAAUACCCUGAGUGGAUGAUGGUACCGGAAUAAGAAGCACCGGCUAACUACGUGCCAGCAGCCACGGUAAUACGUAGGGUGCGAGCGUUAAUCGGAAUUACUGGGCGUAAAGCGUGCGCAGGCGGUUUUGUAAGACAGGCGUGAAAUCCCCGGGCUCAACCUGGGAACUGCGUUUGUGACUGCAAGGCUAGAGUAUGGCAGAGGGGGGUGGAAUUCCACGUGUAGCAGUGAAAUGCGUAGAGAUGUGGAGGAACACCAAUGGCGAAGGCAGCCCCCUGGGCCAAUACUGACGCUCAUGCACGAAAGCGUGGGGAGCAAACAGGAUUAGAUACCCUGGUAGUCCACGCCCUAAACGAUGUCAACUAGGUGUUGGGUGGGUAAAACCAUUUGGUACCGUAGCUAACGCGUGAAGUUGACCGCCUGGGGAGUACGGCCGCAAGGUUAAAACUCAAAGGAAUUGACGGGGACCCGCACAAGCGGUGGAUGAUGUGGAUUAAUUCGAUGCAACGCGAAAAACCUUACCUACCCUUGACAUGCCAGGAACUUGCCAGAGAUGGCUUGGUGCCCGAAAGGGAGCCUGGACACAGGUGCUGCAUGGCUGUCGUCAGCUCGUGUCGUGAGAUGUUGGGUUAAGUCCCGCAACGAGCGCAACCCUUGUCGUUAAUUGCCAUCAUUUAGUUGGGCACUUUAACGAGACUGCCGGUGACAAACCGGAGGAAGGUGGGGAUGACGUCAAGUCCUCAUGGCCCUUAUGGGUAGGGCUUCACACGUCAUACAAUGGUCGGUACAAAGGGUUGCCAAGCCGCGAGGCAGAGCCAAUCCCAGAAAGCCGAUCGUAGUCCGGAUCGCAGGCUGCAACUCGCCUGCGUGAAGU
rnacentral:rRNA from 1 species